GUGCUCAUUACACAGUACAUGUAUUAAAACUGGAAGAAAAAAAAUAGAAGAUUAGCAUAGCCCCUACACAAGGAUGACAUGGAAAUUCAUGAAGCAUCCUGUAUUUUU